rnacentral:siRNA from 1 species
GUGAAUAACAUUUAGGUGUGGUA